AUGACGUCGCUGCAUUGACUUCAUUGGAUAGGUCUGCUCUCCAAACAUAAAGAAAAGUGCCUCUCCAAAAGGCUCACAUGAUGGCUCAUGUAGUCACCAGCUGACCAUAUGAAGAUUGACGCCAUACACACACCACACCAAACAAUUCAUUGAACAGCAGCCAUCAUCUGGGGACCAGCAGUAAGCAUCAUCAACCAAAGAACCAUACUACAUACUGACCUCUGCCAAAAUAAAACGGAUCACAGUGAUCAAAGAUAAGUCCUGAAUCUGAAUCUCUCUGACAAGAGCCCUUUGGCGGCCACCACCAUUCUCAUUAAUCCCAGCCAUACAAUCCUUUCAAAUUUAGACAAUUUAUUACACCCAGUAUGCUCCUAUUAAGCCUGGUUUGCAUUGAAACACAUGAACAUGGUGUGUUUAUCCCUAUUAUUCAAUGAACAUGAGCAUAAAUGUUUUUUUUUGUUCAGAUUUAAGUUGAUUAAAACACAAACUACAGUCGUGCAUAUUAUUGAGGGAUAUCAGGAAUAGAAGACCGAGAUGUGGACAAAAUGCAAACAAAUGAGGGACAAUAAGAUGACUAUUGGGUGACUACUCAUGCACUUUAGGGUGGGGGCAUUGUCAUAUUGUUGAUUCCAUUUUUUGGUCCUCCACCUGUCCCUUUUAAUACAUUAGAGAGGGAGAUUUGAAAUAGUCUUCAGAUAGUUUUUAGAAAGACAAGUUCAACUAAUUAACAAGAAUAACAUGACAGCAAAUGUGAAUCAGUUCAGAUAAUUAAUUUAAAGUUGUGUGGUGUUAUGGUCCUAUGCACAGCUUCUUAUCCAGAGGGCCAGUGUGGGUGCAGGGUUGUGUUCUAGCCAAGGAAUAACACACCUGAUUCAACUUAUGUCUUGGUUGAAGUCUAUGAUUAGUUGAUUUGUUUAAUCAGGUGUGUACUGGUUGGUAAGAACAAAAGUCCACAUUGAUCUCUGUGGAUAUGAUUGGACACACCCUUGUUAUGAGUGUUAUUUUUAUAAUGAAUAGUAAUGAUACGUUUAUUUUAAUAACUUUAGGGGAGAUAAUAUAAUUUUACAUAAGAAAUAUCAGUUUAAGGUUUGAACAUUUGGAAGUUAAUUUAAACUGAUUAUUCAAGAGGUGGACUUAUUUGGAACACCCAUGGGCUUAAAGGGUACAUUCAGUACCCAUUAAGCCCAGUCUGGACUUUUCACAUAUUUGAUCAAAUAUUUGUUCUUGUCAUUCUGAUUGUCUCCACCCCUUUCCAGGUGUCGCCCAUCUUCCCCAUCAUCCCCUGUGUAUUUAUUCCUGUGUUCUCUGUUUGUAUGUUGCCAGUUCGUCUUGUCUGUCAAGUCAACCAGCGGUUUUGUGUCUCAGCUCCUGCUUUUCCCAGUCUUUCUUAUUCUCGCCCUCCUGGUUUUGACCCUUGCCUGUCCUGACUCUGAGCCUGCCUGCCUGACCAGUCUGCCUGCCCCUGAGCCUGCCUGCCGUCCAGUACCGUUGCCCCACCUCUGGUUUACUGACCCCUGCCUGCCUUGACCUGUCUAUUGCCUGCCCCUGUUGGAUUAUUAAACAAUUGUUAAUUCGACAUUGUCUCCAUCUGGGUCUCAACUUCAUACCUGAUAGUUAGAAAUGUCAACUUAGAUUUUGUUGGGCUUAAUAGGUUCAAUUACCCUAGCCUGUCAAUUAUGAUGAUUUAGUAACAUGUUUAUUAGCAGACAAUUACCUUGCC
ensembl:lncRNA